ACUUUUAAAGGAAAAUAGAAAUCCGA
rnacentral:tRNA from 1 species